rnacentral:rRNA from 1 species
UCCACACCUAAGGCUCCUGAUACAACAAUGAAGUUUGAAAGUUUUGAGGAGGCUGUUGCUCACUACGAGCUAUAUGCACUCAGAAAUGGAUUUGGGACAAGGAUAGAGUACAAAAGAACACUAAAGGACAACACAGUGAGCAGAGCACUCCUGGUGUGUGGGAAAGGCGGCAAGCCAAAGAAGAAGAAGGAGGAGGUGCAGGAUGUACUGAACCCAGAAGGCAUCAUGAAGAAGAGAAAAGGGCGUAAGGUUAAGAGGACUGAGUGUCCAGCCCACCUUUACCUUACGCACAAGGAUGCAUGGUGGGGAGUCGAACGCUUUGAUGACAACCACAACCAUCCACUAAUAAGAAAGCCAUAUCUGACAAAAUUUCUAGCCUCACAUCGGAACAUUCCCAAAGACGAGCAAGAUUUCUUACGGAUUCUACAUGAAUGCAACAUAGACACCGCAAGGCAAAUGCAACUAAUUUCAUGGUUCUAUGGUGAGGCUGAGAAUGUACCAUACACAACACAGGACCUUGCAAAUCAGCGAGCCAAAUUUUGCAAGGAGUACCAUAAUGCAGACGUGGGGAGCACAAUUGCAUACUUUGAGGAGCUCAGGGCAAAGGAUCCAGAUUUCUAUUGGAGAAUGAAACUUGAUGAUGAAGACAGGGUGGAAAACAUGUCCUGGAUAGAUGGUGCAUCACGUAGGGCAUACGCAAAAUACAACGACAUUGUGUCGUUUGACACAAAGUACAUGACUAAUAUGUACAAGAUGCCGUGUGCCCCCUUCAUUGGCAUUAACAACCAGGGGCAAUCAAUCCAAUUCGGUUGUGGUUUUGUUCGAAACGAACUGACUGACAACUUUGUGUGGCUGUUUAACACAUUCUUGCAUGCGAUGGGUGGGGUUGCACCAAAGAACAUAAUCACAGAUCAGGACUUUGCCAUGAGGAAUGCUAUUGUCGAGGUGUUCAUCGGGAUUGUACACAUAAAUUGCAGAUGGCACAUUAUGAAGAAAGCACAGGAGAAGCUUGGGAGGUUAAUGGCCGAUGAUCAACCACUGAACAAAGCAUUCAAAGAUUGUGUUGACAACAACUUGAAUGUUGAGGAGUUUGAGAAAAAAUGGUGGAAGAUGCUAGACGAUCAUGGGCAAACGGACAACGAGCAUUUCCACUGGCUGUGGGAAAACAGGGAAUGCUGGGUCCCGGUGUACUACAUGCACGACUUCUUCCCAUUCUUGCAGACAACGGCAAGGAGCGAGGGAUUCAACGCUGUGUUGAAGAAGUACGUCAACCCAAAUAACUCGCUAGUGGAAUUUGCAAAAUAGUACACUGCAAUACAGGAGAAGGUGAUGGUAAGCGUGUCAAAAGAGCACCUGGAAAUAGUGUACAAAGAGGUGGAAACAUACUCCUUCAACCCACUCGAGUUACAGGUGCAGGGCCUCUACACGCAUAAUCUUUUCACCAAAUUCUAGAUGGAGAUGAAGGUGAAAACUGGCUACAGAUGUGACACGUUGCAAGAUGGGUCAUUCAAGGUUGGCUCAGUCAGAGGAAUCAUACCAAAAUAUGGGGAUAGGGACUACCAUGUGCAAGCAAACAAGGAUGAAGGGACAUAUUCAUGCACUUGCUGCAAGUUUGAGCGAGAUGGUAUACCCUGCGCACAUGUGUUACGAGUGAUGGACCAAAUCGGGGUGUACGAGAUACCUGAGAAGUAUAUUCUAAAGAGGUGGACUUGGGAUCAAGAGGAAGAUCUAAUCAAACCUGAUUUUGAACAACCAACAGUUAGUAAGAGCAUGCCAGAGGAGGGAAAAAGCGUCAUGCGAUAUACAUCAAUGCUAAGGGAGUUCAAGGCAACAGCCAAGGAUGCUUGCCUCACAGAUGAUGGGGCCAGGGUGGCCAAGAAGCACCUAUAUGCUUUCAAGGAAGAAAUGGACGCGCUAACAAAAAGCCAACGUAAGAAGGCCAGAAAGGACAAGGAAGAAGCUAGAGGAUCGUUCUAA